GAUGAACGCUGGCGGCGUGCUUAACACAUGCAAGUCGAGCGAAGCACUUUAUUUGAUUUCCUUCGGGACUGAUUAUUUUGUGACUGAGUGGCGGACGGGUGAGUAACGCGUGGGUAACCUGCCUUGUACAGGGGGAUAACAGUUGGAAACGGCUGCUAAUACCGCAUAAGCGCACAGCAUCGCAUGAUGCAGUGUGAAAAACUCCGGUGGUAUAAGAUGGACCCGCGUUGGAUUAGCUAGUUGGUGAGGUAACGGCCCACCAAGGCGACGAUCCAUAGCCGACCUGAGAGGGUGACCGGCCACAUUGGGACUGAGACACGGCCCAAACUCCUACGGGAGGCAGCAGUGGGGAAUAUUGCACAAUGGGCGAAAGCCUGAUGCAGCGACGCCGCGUGAGCGAAGAAGUAUUUCGGUAUGUAAAGCUCUAUCAGCAGGGAAGAUAAUGACGGUACCUGACUAAGAAGCACCGGCUAAAUACGUG
rnacentral:rRNA from 1 species